CGCCCCGCGGCGGUCGAUCGCUCGCAGUGUGCGGCGAGGCGGUGGGCUCGGAGGCGGAGCGGGAGGGAGCAUGCUUGGCUGCUGCCAGGCCUCGGGGCGAGCCCCGGCCGCCGUCUCCACCUCCGCCUCCUUCUUCUCCUCCUCCGUCUCCUCCUCCUCUUCCAGUCCCGCCGCCGCCGCCGCAGCCAACAUGGCUGCGCCCCGGAGCCCGGGAGGCGGCCGCUGAGAGCUGCCCGAUCCUCCGGGCCCGAGGCUCGCAGGCCCCGGCCCAUGGGCCCCGCCGCCUCGCAGCUCCCGGUGAGCUAGGCUGCCGCCCAGCUCGGCGUGCAGCCCGCCAGCCUCAGGGAUCCCCGGCGCCGUCCGGCGGGGCGGGGCGGGGCGGCGCGGCGCGGGCCGCCACUAUGGAGCCGCAGCGCCGGGAGCUGCUCGCCCAGUGUCAGCAGAGCCUGGCCCAGGCCAUGACCGAGGUGGAGGCCGUGCUCGGGCUGCUGGAGGCCGCGGGAGCGCUGAGCCCGGGCGAGCGGCGGCAGCUGGACGAAGAAGAGGCUGGAGGAGCCAAGGCGGAGCUGCUGCUCCAGCUGCUCUUGGCCAAGGAGCAGGACCACUUCCAGGACCUGCGUGCGGCGCUGGAGAAGACGCAGCCUCACCUGCUGCCCAUUCUCUACCUGAACGGCGUCGUCGGGCCGCCGCCGUCCGCAGAGGGCGCGGGCUCCACCUACAGUGUCCUGUCCAUCAUGCCCUCAGACUCGGAGAGCAGCAGCUCCCUCAGCAGUGUGGGUACUACUGGGAAGGCACCAUCCCCACCACCCCUCCUCACUGAGCAGCAGGUCAAUGACAAGGUGGAGAACCUCUCCAUUCAGCUGCGGCUGAUAACCCGCGAGAGGAAUGAGCUACGCAAGCGCCUGGCCUUCGCCACCCAUGGAGCUACCUUCGACAAGAGGCCCUACCACAGGCUGAAUCCUGAUUAUGAGAGGCUAAAGAUCCAGUGUGUGCGGGCCAUGUCAGAUCUGCAGAGUUUACAGAACCAGCACACCAACGCCUUGAAGAGGUGCGAGGAGGUGGCCAAGGAGACAGACUUCUAUCACACCCUCCACAGUCGGCUCCUGAGUGACCAGACUCAGCUGAAGGAUGACGUGGACAUGCUGAGACGGGAGAACGGGAAGCUGCUGCGUGAGCGGAAUCUUCUACAGCAGUCCUGGGAGGAUAUGAAGAGACUCAGGGAGGAGGACCAGAAGGAGAUAGGUGACCUCCGGGCCCAACAACAGCAGGUGCUGAAGCACAAUGGCUCCUCAGAGAUCCUCAACAAGCUGUAUGACACGGCCAUGGACAAGCUGGAAGUGGUUAAGAAGGAUUAUGAUGCUCUGCGGAAGAGGUACAGCGAGAAAGUCGCCAUGCACAACUCAGACCUGAGCCGCCUAGAGCAACUGGGGGAGGAGAACCAGCGCCUGCAAAAGCAGACGGAGAUGUUGACCCAGCAGAGGGACACAGCUAUCCAGUUGCAGCACCAGUGUGCCCUCUCUCUGAGGAGGUUCGAGACAAUCCACCAUGAGCUGAGCAAGGCCACAGCCCAGAACAAGGACCUACAAUGGGAGAUGGAGUUGUUGCAGUCUGAGUUGACAGAGCUGAGAAGCAAGCAGGUGAAAACCGCCAAGGAGUCUGAGAAAUACAAGGAGGAGCGUGACGCUGUGUACAGCGAGUACAAGCUCAUCAUGAGUGAGCGCGACCAGGUCAUCUCCGAGCUAGAUAAGCUACAGACAGAGGUGGAGCUGGCCGAGUCCAAGCUCAAGAGCAGCACGUCUGAGAAGAAGGCAGCCAGCGAGGAGAUGGAGGCUCUGCGGCAGGUCAAAGACACAGUGAGCAUGGAUGCUGGGAGAGCCAACAAAGAGGUGGAAAUCCUCCGAAAGCAGUGCAAGGCCCUGUGCCAGGAGCUAAAGGAAGCCCUCCAGGAGGCAGACGUGGCCAAGUGCCGGCGGGACUGGGCCUUUCAGGAGCGGGACAAAAUUGUGGCAGAGCGUGACAGCAUCCGGACCCUGUGUGACAAUCUGAGGCGAGAGCGGGAUCGGGCUGUGAGUGAGCUGGCUGAAGCCCUUCGUAGCCUGGACGACACCCGGAAGCAGAAGAAUGAUGUUAGCCGUGAACUUAAGGAACUCAAGGAACAGAUGGAAUGCCAGCUGGAGAAGGAGGCCCGGUUCCGCCAGCUGAUGGCCCACAGUUCUCACGACUCUGCCAUUGACACGGAUUCCAUGGAGUGGGAAACGGAAGUUGUGGAGUUUGAGAGAGAGAGGGAAGAUAUUGACUUGAAAGCGCUCGGGUUUGACAUGGCAGAAGGUGUGAAUGAGCCUUGCUUCCCUGGGGACUGUGGAAUAUUUGUUACUAAAGUGGACAAAGGAAGCAUUGCUGAUGGUCGCUUAAGGGUCAAUGACUGGCUGCUGAGAAUCAAUGACGUGGACCUCAUCAACAAGGACAAGAAACAGGCUAUCAAGGCACUCCUCAAUGGAGAGGGAUCUAUCAACAUGGUCGUGAGACGGAGGAAGUCCCUUGGUGGGAAGGUCGUCACUCCUCUGCACAUCAGCCUUAGUGGACAGAAAGACAGUGGCAUCAGUUUGGAGAAUGGAGUGUAUGCUGCUGCUGUGGUACCUGGAAGCCCUGCUGCCAAAGAGGGCUCUCUUGCCGUGGGAGACAGGAUUGUUGCGAUCAAUGGUAUUGCACUGGACAAUAAGUCUCUGAAUGAAUGUGAAUCACUGCUACGGAGCUGUCAAGACUCCCUGACCCUCUCCCUCCUGAAGGUGUUUCCCCAGAGCUCCUCGUGGAGUGGCCAGAGCAUCUUUGAAAAUACUAAGGACUCAGAUAAGAUGCUGAGCUGUCGAGCCCAUGGCCCAGAGGUCCAGGCACAUAACAAACGGAACUUGUUACAGCACAAUAACUCCACGCAGACGGACAUCUUCUACUUAGAUCGGCUGGAGGACAGGAAGGAGCUGGGUCCCCCUGGAGGCAGUAGUUCUUUUCUGCACAAGCCAUUCCCUGGAGCCUCCUCCCCAGCAUCUCCCCAGGCCUGCCCUAGCACCUCUGAGCGUAGUCUGAACUCAUUCCGCUCUGAUGCCUCUGCCGAACGUGGCUACGGGCCGCUGGACAUGCAGAGCCAGCGGCCACUGCUGUCUUUCGAGACUGAGGUGGACCCCUGUGGGAUAGUAGAGGCUCCCCUGGACAAGGUAGAUCCUGAUGGCUCCAACAGUGGUGGGACCUGGCCCAAGGCUGUGCUCGGUUCUACAUCAGGGCCUGAGAAGCUCUCCGUGUACAAGAAGCCCAAGCAAAGGAAGUCUAUCUUUGACCCAAAUACUUUCAAGCGCCCACAGACACCCCCCAAAAUAGACUACCCUCUUCCAGGCCCUGGGCUUGCUCACUCCCCUCAGCCCUCCAAAAGGGUAGGGUCUAUGACACCCCCGAAACCCCCCAGGAGAAGUGACUCUAUCAAGUUCCAGCAUAGGCUGGAGACCAGCUCUGAGUCAGAAGCCACCCUGGUGGGCAGCUCACCAUCCACCAGCCCUCCGAGUGCCCCAGCCCCCAGCAUGGACCCUGGGGAGCCCAUGCAUGGUUCACCCACUCGAAAGGCCAGGGUCCGCAUUGCCUCCAGUUACCAUUCUGAAGGGGAUGGAGACACCUCCUACCUGCCUGCCAAAAAGUCCUGUGAUGAGGACCUCACCUCCCAGAAAGUGGACGAGAUGGGGCAGAAGCGGCGCCGGCCAAAGUCUGCCCCUAGCUUUCGGCCCAAGAUCACUCCAGUAGUGAUCCCCGCUCAGUGCCUCGAGGACCAGGAGUGCAUUCCAGCCUGUGGAGAGCUCUCCCCAGAGGUCCAGGAAUGGUCCCCGUACUCACCAGGGCAUGCUAGCCGACAUGGCAACCCUCCACUCUACCCCAACCGGCCGUCUGUGGGCACUGUUCCCCGGAGUAUGACUCCCAGCACCACUGUGAGCUCCAUUCUACGGAACCCCAUCUACACUGUGCGCAGUCACAGGGUGGUUCCCUGUGGCUCUCCACCUGUGUCCCGUGAUGCCGGCUCCCAGGGCUUGUCUCCCAGUGCCCAGCACCAGGGACGCCUCAGCCUGGACCUGAGUCACAGGGCCUGCAGUGACUACUCUGACAUGAGAGCCUCCCAGGGUUCCAACUCCCUGCCCUCCAGUGCCCGUCUUGGGUCUUCCAGCAACCUGCAGUUCAAGGCAGAGCGGAUUAAGAUCCCAUUAACACCAAGAUAUCCCCGAUCAGUCAUGGGCUCUGAUAGAGGUUCACUGUCACAUUCUGAAUGUAGCACUCCUCCCCGGUCCCCACUGAACAUUGAUACCCUGUCCUCCUGUAGCCAGCCUCAGACCUCAGCCUCCACAUUGCCUAGAAUUGCUGUUAACCCCACUUCCCACGGGGAGCGAAGAAAGGACAGGCCUUACCUAGAGGAGCCACGGCACGUCAAGGUGCAGAAGGGCUCAGAGCCUCUGGGAAUCUCCAUUGUGAGUGGAGAGAAGGGUGGCAUCUAUGUCUCCAAGGUGACCACAGGGAGCAUUGCCCACCAGGCUGGCCUGGAGUACGGAGACCAGUUACUUGAGUUCAAUGGCAUAAAUCUGAGGAGUGCCACCGAGCAACAGGCCCGGCUAAUCAUCGGACAGCAGUGCGAUACCAUCACCAUCCUGGCCCAGUACAACCCACACAUUCACCAGCUCAACAGCCACUCCCGCUCCAGCUCCCACCUGGACCCUGCUGCCACCCCUUACUCCACUCUCCAGGGCAGCAGUGCUGUAACUCCGGAACAUCCCUCUGUCAUUGACCCACUGAUGGAACAGGAUGAAGGCCCUGGCACUCCCCCAGCCAAGCAGAGCAUCCCCAGCUCCAGGAUUGUGGGAGAUACCAGCAAGAAGACUUCUGAACCCCGCAUAGUUUUCAUCAAGAAAUCCCAGUUGGAUCUGGGGGUGCACUUGUGUGGUGGGAACCUACACGGAGUGUUUGUGGCUGAGGUGGAAGAUGACAGUCCUGCCAAGGGUCCUGAUGGCCUUGUGCCAGGGGACCUCAUCCUUGAGUAUGGCAACCUGGAUGUGCGCAGCAGGACAGUGGAGGAUGUCUAUGUGGAGAUGCUGAAGCCUAAGGACAAUAUUCGCCUGAAGGUGCAGUACCGCCAGGAGGAGUUCAACAGAGUCCAGGGCCUGCCUGGUGACAGCUUCUAUAUCAGGGCCCUAUAUGACCGUCUGGCAGAAGUGGAGCCUGAACUGAGUUUUAAGAAAGAUGACAUCCUGUAUGUGGAUGACACAUUGCCCCAGGGAAUGUUUGGGUCCUGGAUGGCUUGGCAGCUGGAUGAGAAUGCCCAGAAGAUCCAGCGUGGGCAGAUUCCCAGCAAAUAUGUGAUGGACCAAGAGUUCUCAAGGAGGCUCAGUAUGUCUGAGGUCAAAGACGACAACACAGCAAAAACACUGUCGGCAGCUGCACGUCGGUCCUUCUUCAGAAGGAAACAUAAACACAAACACAGUGGGUCCAAAGAUGGCAAGGACCUGCUCGCUCUGGAUACCUUUUCCAAUGACUCCAUUCCGCUCUUUGAAGAUUCGGUGAGCCUGGCCUAUCAGCGGGUCCAGAAGGUGGACUGUCCCUCUCUGCGGCCGGUCCUUAUCUUGGGGCCUCUACUGGAUGUGGUGAAAGAGAUGCUAGUGAAUGAAGCACCUGGCAGGUUCUGCAGAUGCCCGCUCGAGGUGAUGAAGGCUUCCCAACAAGCCAUUGAGCGGGGCGUCAAAGACUGCCUGUUUGUGGACUACAAGCGGAGGAGUGGCCAUUUUGAUGUUACCACCGUGGCUUCAAUAAAGGAGAUCACAGAAAAGAACCGGCACUGUCUUCUGGACAUCGGCCCGCAUGCCAUUGAGAGGCUGCAUCAUAUGCACAUCUACCCCAUUGUCAUCUUCAUCCGCUACAAGAGCGCCAAGCACAUCAAAGAGCAGAGAGACCCUGUCUACUUGAGGGACAAGGUGACGCAGAGGCAUUCCAAAGAGCAAUUUGAGACGGCACAGAAGAUCGAUCAAGAGUACAGCAGGUACUUCACAGGGGUUGUCCAAGGUGGAGCCCUGUCGGGCAUUUGCGCUCAGAUCCUGGCAAUGGUCAAUCAAGAACAAAGUAAAGUCCUGUGGAUCCCUGCUUGCCCACCCUAGCAGAAAACUGUGCCAGAGGCGCCUCCAUGACCAGAGGACAGCUGGAUGGCUCUUUCCUAGCCCCAGAGAGGUCUGUCUGUCUAUGGACCUGGAACCAGGACUGCACGAACACCUCCUUUGUAGACGGAGAGCCCCCAAAAUUUGGGCCCAGCUGGUGGAUGGCACUAUUCACACGUCCACUUUGAAACAUAAAAGCAAACACAAAAGACUUGAUCCUCCCAGAGGCGCUGUGCCCAGGGCCUUGCUGGUCACAAGUUUACAAGCCUUUUCUAAGUAUUUGGUUGUUUAUGUUUACUUGAAUGGCUCCAUGUUGGUGCCAAGCCCCUGAUCCCAAUCCCUCUGUCACUCCCUGUUGGUUUGAUGUUCCUGUCUUGGGCAGGACAGUUCUGGAACCUCAUUGGGGGUGGGGUGGUGUUGCUUUGUUUUAGGAAGUUUCUGUCAGUGGGACCAGAGUUUUGACAGACUUCCUGCUCCUCAGUGGUCCCUCUCCUGGAAGACAUCACCACUGCAGGUGCUCAGCGCACUUGUUGGUACCAGAACCAGCGCCCUGGUGGGACCAACUUGCCAUGGCAGCGCUUUCCUCCAGUACACGGAAGGCAGCUUUGCAUUCUUGCAGCUUCUCCUCCUGGCCUUCCUACUCGCCCCCUGGCCCCUUGUUUCUUCUCCAGCUGCAUUUCUAUUUAAACAUCACGUCUAGUCCACCAGAGCCUCGAGCUUCCUCAGUGAUGCAGUUGGGUCCUCAGCAUGGGGCAUGGGCAUGCCAUUUCUUCCUGUAGGCUUGGAGAUGCCGGGAAGCCUUUGCCAGUACAAGGUGGCAGGGUAACCCUUACACUGGCACAGAUGUACCAGCUCUUUCUGGCUUGAAGCUACUCAUCUAUUGAAAACCCAAGAAGAAAAGACGUUUUCUCAACAUUCUUAGCCCGACUCCACGAAGACAUCUCCAUUGUUGGGUCGUCCCCGUGUCCCCGUCCCGUCGUCCCGUCCCGCCGUCCCCCCCCCCGUCCCCCCCGCCUUCUGAUGCCAGAUCUAUUUUGGUAAAGAGCUGAUGCGCUCCCUUCAUCAACUGUGUGUCCUAUUAAUAGGUACUGUACUGGGUUCUGUGUGUCACUGGGGUAGGACCUAUAUUUUAAUACUGUUCCUAACAUUUCAUUUUAUUAGCAAGAAAUCUUUAAUUUCAUUUUAUUCUUUGUAAUUCUAGACAUUAGAUUGUAGUUUAGCCAUUUUUUAAAGGGAUGUAUUUUCUUGCACAGCUGUUUAAAAAGAGAGCGAGAGUUGCAGCCCUCCAGGCUGUCCUGUGCCUUACAGGCACACAUUUUCUAGCUCAGACAACUGACAGACGCUGCUGACCACUCUCAAGGUCUUACUUGCACAGUUGUGGGACAAGGACUAUUUUCCUGGUCAUAGGGCCCAGGCAGGUAUGGAUCUGACAGGUGGGAUACGCUGUACUAAAAUGUUACUUUGUAUCAAAAAUAAAACAGACUUGAACACAAAGGGA